rnacentral:rRNA from 1 species
CCUACGGGUGGCAGCAGUGAGGAAUAUUGGUCAAUGGACGCAAGUCUGAACCAGCCAUGCCGCGUGCGGGAAGACGGCUCUAUGAAUUGUAAACUGCUUUUGUACGAGGGUAAACGCAGAUACGCGUAUCUGUCUGACAGUAUCUGACGAAUAAGGAUCGGCUAACUCCGUGCCAGCAGCCGCGGUAAUACGGAGGAUUCAAGCGUUAUCCGGAUUUAUUGGGUUUAAAGGGUGCAUAGGCGGUCGGAUAAGUUAGAGGUGAAAUCCCGAGGCUCAACUUCGGAAUUGCCUCUGAUACUGGUAGGCUAGAGAGUAGUUGCGGUAGGCGGAAUGUAUGGUGUAGCGGUGAAAUGCUUAGAGAUCAGACAGAACACCGAUUGCGAAGGCAGCUUACCAAGCUACUUCUGACGUUGAGGCACGAAAGCGUGGGGAGCAAACAGGAUUAGAUACCCCAGUAGUC